rnacentral:sRNA from 1 species
GUUUCAAUUCCUCAUAGGCAGGCUAUCGGCUGCUCAAAACUGACAGAGAGAUGAAAGCGCGGGACUAG